GUGGGGAAUCUUGCGCAAUGGGCGAAAGCCUGACGCAGCCAUGCCGCGUGAAUGAUGAAGGUCUUAGGAUUGUAAAAUUCUUUCACCGGGGACGAUAAUGACGGUACCUGGAGAAGAAGCCCCGGCUAACUUCGUGCCAGCAGCCGCGGUAAUACGAAGGGGGCUAGCGUUGCUCGGAAUUACUGGGCGUAAAGGGCGCGUAGGCAGACAGUUUAGUCAGAGGUGAAAGCCCAGGGCUCAACCUUGGAAUUGCCUUUGAUACUGGCUGUCUUGAUUACGGGAGAGGUGAGUGGAACUCCGAGUGUAGAGGUGAAAUUCGUAGAUAUUCGGAAGAACACCAGUGGCGAAGGCGACUCACUGGCCCGUUACUGACGCUGAGGCGCGAAAGCGUGGGGAGCAAACAGGAUUAGAAACCCGGGUAGUCC
rnacentral:rRNA from 1 species